UGAGGAAUAUUGGACAAUGGGCGCAAGCCUGAUCCAGCCAUGCCGCGUGCAGGAAGAAGCAUCUAUGGUGUGUAAACUGCUUUUGUACGGGAAGAAACACUCCUACGUGUAGGAGCUUGACGGUACCGUAAGAAUAAGGAUCGGCUAACUCCGUGCCAGCAGCCGCGGUAAUACGGAGGAUCCAAGCGUUAUCCGGAAUCAUUGGGUUUAAAGGGUCCGUAGGCGGUUUAAUAAGUCAGUGGUGAAAGCCCAUCGCUCAGCGAUGGAACGGCCAUUGAUACUGCUAGACUUGAAUUACAAGGAAGUAACUAGAAUAUGUAGUGUAGCGGUGAAAUGCUUAGAUAUUACAUGGAAUACCAAUUGCGAAGGCAGGUUACUACUUGUGGAUUGACGCUGAUGGACGAAAGCGUGGGGAGCGAACA
rnacentral:rRNA from 1 species